UUCGGCUCAGUAACACGUAGUCAACAUGCCCAGGGGACGUGGAUAACCUCGGGAAACUGAGGAUAAACCGCGAUAGGUCAUCACUUCUGGAAUGGGUAAUGACUUAAACCUAUAUGGCCCCUGGAUUGGACUGCGGCCGAUCAGGCUGUUGGUGAGGUAAUGGCCCACCAAACCUGUAACCGGUACGGGCCCUGAGAGGAGGAGCCCGGAGAUGGGCACUGAGACAAGGGCCCAGGCCCUAUGGGGCGCAGCAGGCGCGAAACCUCUGCAAUAGGCGAAAGCUUGACAGGGUUACUCUGAGUGAUUUCCGUUAAGGAGAUCUUUUGGCACCUCUAAAAAUGGUGCAGAAUAAGGGGUGGGCAAGUCUGGUGUCAGCCGCCGCGGUAAUACCAGCACCCCGAGUGGUCGGGACGUUUAUUGGGCCUAAAGCAUCCGUAGCCGGUUCUACAAGUCUUCCGUUAAAUCCACCUGCUCAACAGAUGGGCUGCGGAAGAUACUAUGGAGCUAGGAGGCGGGAGAGGCAAGCGGUACUCGAUGGGUAGGGGUAAAAUCCGUUGAUCCAUUGAAGACCACCAGUGGCGAAGGCGGCUUGCCAGAACGCGCUCGACGGUGAGGGAUGAAAGCUGGGGGAGCAAACCGGAUUAGAUACCCGGGUAGUCCCAGCUGUAAACGAUGCAGACUCGGUG
rnacentral:rRNA from 1 species